rnacentral:rRNA from 1 species
UACGAGAGGCCCAAACGUUAUUCGGAAUUACUGGGCUUAAAGAGUUCGUAGGCGGCGCAGAAAGUAGGGUGUGAAAGCCCUCGGCUUAACCGAGGAAUUGCGCUCUAAACUAACUGUGCUUGAGGAACCUAGAGGUGAGCAGAACUGAUGGUGGAGCGGUGAAAUGCGUUGAUAUCAUCAGGAAUACCGGAGGCGAAGGGCGGCUCACUGGGGGUUUUCUGACGCUGAGGAACGAAAGCCAGGGGAGCGAACGGG